UCCUUAGUAGCUCAGCGGUAGAGCGGUCGGCUGUUAACCGAUAGGUCGUUGGUUCAAACCCAACCUGGGGAG
rnacentral:tRNA from 1 species